rnacentral:rRNA from 1 species
AGGUGAAAUUUAUAUUUUUCUUGGCCAAAAAUGUUUAUUUUAAAGUUUUAGAAGCUAUUAAAGUUUGGGUUUAAACCAGGAUUAGAUACCCUGUUAUACCAAUUUUAGAAAAUCUUGCUUGGGUAGUAACGAGUUAUGAGCUUGAAAUCUAAAUAAUUUGGCGGUAUUUUAGUCUAGUUAGAGGAACCUGUCCUAUAAACGAUACACCACGUAAUAUCUUGCUUUAUUUUGUAAUCAGUUUGUAUACCGCCAUAAUUUGGUCAUAUUUUAAAAUAUUUUCCAAAAUAAGAAAUUUUUAAUACAUUAGGUCAAGGUGCAGCUAAUAAUAAAGUUUGUGAUGGGUUACAAUAUAAUUUAUAUAAACGGAUAAGGAAAUUUAAUAGUUUUUUGUAAGGUGGAUUUAAUAGUAAUUUUACUUUUAGUAAGAUAUAAUGAUUCUUAGCUCUAAAAUAUGUACACAUCGCCCGUCGCUCUCGCUAACAAGGCGAGAUA